CUGGGCGAAACGUGUCUUGGCUCGCUCAAUGUCAGCCCUUUUGACCGGGUCAAGACUUUCCAGACGCAGGCUUCCCGGGCUCCUUAGGUUCCAGCCUGGGUUGGGGGAGGGAGGACGUGACAACCAUAGCUGGUCCCUGGGGUGCCUCCCGACUCGGGGACAGCUCAGUCACUUGAAACGCCGAAAGAUUCCAGGCCUGGCAGAGCGUCUCGGGCGGAUCCUUCCUUCUUCGUCCUCUGUCUUCACCCACCCGGCUGGUCCGGAGCAGCCGCAGCGGGUGGUUUAACCAGGGAGCCUGAGAUCAACCCUGUUCCCAAGUACCUUGAGUGUGAUCAGCUGACGGAGGUGGCCAGUUGUCCUAAGUUCGGUACCAAUCCUUUCUCUGAAUAUCCAAGUGUUCUGAAUAUUUGUUGAAGAGACUAUCUUCAUUUUUUUAUGAUCCAUAAUAUGUCAGAUUGAUGAAAACUGAGGAUAAAAGUGAAGAAUUUUGAGUUUUUUACAUGGAAGGAGCAAGGAGGGGAAUAUACAUCCUGAUUCUCAGACCAGAGUUUGCAUGUGACUCGACCCUACCAGAUCAGUUUUGCAGGAAACUCAGGGCAGUUCCUCGAAGAUGUCAGUGCAGCAGCAGCUGGCAGAGAUGCAGUCCCAGCCUGAGAAGCAGUUCAGGGAAUUUGAUGGGCCAUCUGAGCCCUAGAGGAUUUGCACAGGUGCAAACAGAGCUGGGGGCUUUUGGAUCUGGAAGAGUUAGAAACACCCUGAGCUCUCCAUGGUUGGACACUCAGAGAAGUGGCUUUCAUCACAGGAGUGAGGGGGACAUCUUCAGGCCAUUACGAGGUAGUAUCUGUGGAUCAGCUGCAGCUAAAUCCUGAAAACAAAGAGUAAAUCCAACACUUGAAGAACUGCUAAAGAUUUAUGAUGAUUCAGAAGAGAAACUGUUCAUAAAAAGAGGAUGAGCCAACUUCCCUGCAAUGCGUUUAAUAACAAACCAAGGGUGCAGAGCUGCUUUCUGUAGCAUGGAGCAAAUUAAAUGGCAGAAACCACUGUGAAGCCCUGUGAAGCCCUUGGUGGGAUGUUUGAGCAUUUGGAAUUCAACUGUGUGCAAAUUUCAUCUUUUUGAGGAUUUUGUACAUUUCAUGUCUCUUUAGUCAGAACUCUUCCUUCUCCUGUUUUUGAUCAAUUUAUCCGGGGUCUCUUCUAGGGUACAUGGUUCCCUUAAUUUUCUCAGAACUUCCCUUAAAUCUUACUCAUUUUCUUAUGAAGGCUCUACCAGACUCAUUUACAACUUAUUUUUAUUUUAUUUAUGUUAACUUAUUUUUUUUUGGAUGAUUGCCCCAAAGAAUAUAGAAGCUGGAGAAUAUCCUCAAUAAGAAACUUUGAAGUCAAAUAUAUUAUGGGGUUGAUGGCUGUCUAUUGACAGGGCUUCCAUUCCCUUUUCCUUCCUUCCUGAGACCACCUUGGCCUGGUGUGUACCUCUUCUCCAUACCACCUGUUCUCUGGCACUGUUGAAUCAUGCUUCAUUCCAGGGGUGGGCUAGGGUUUGGCUUCCUAGAUCAGAGCAAGCCCACCCUUCCAGGAAACAUUUGGCUCUGAGGUGGUCAUGUGACUUUACUUUGUGGCAAAGAUUGCAAACCUUCUUUCUCGUUAUUUUUUCUUGUUUUUAUUAAUUUUAUCUCUUUAUUUUGCAGUUUUAACCAUUUCUCCAUCUAUGCUUUGACAAAUAAUAUACACCAUAAGGUUCAAUUUUAAGAAGAAAGGUAAGUAGUCAUUCUCUCUCUGUCUCUGGCUCAGUUUCUGCUGGUGGAUAUCUUAUCAUCCACCCAGAGAACACAGUUGAUGCCUAGAGAAAGGCAGAUUGAAAGAACCUCAGUGAAAUUCAGCCAGAGACCCGAUUGCUUGCUCUUCAUAGCUGCCUGACCUCUGGAUGUUCUAUGAGCAAAUCAAAUUCUUCAUUGUUUAAGUUAUUUGAGUGCUGAAAUCAUCCUAAUUGAUUGAGGGAUUAGAUUGUCAGCAUGGUAUAAAGUGGGUCUGGUGAAAGAGAAUUCACAUGGGGACCUCAGGCCUGGGCUGGGGUCUCAGUCUACCAGAUACUAAGUAUGUGUCUGUUCCACCUCUGGAGUUCAAUUCCCAAUAGAGGGCUGUGAUGAUCAUCGUGUGUCACAAAGCUAGGUAAGGAUCAGAUACAUUAAAGCUACAAAACAUGUGGCAUAGCAUGUUAUUAUUAUCAUCCUUUGUUAGCUCCAUCCACCCAUCUACUAUUAUGAAAAUAACAAUAGUGGAUGACUUCAUUGAGGAAUUGUAGAGUACUGUGCUGAGUGCUUGAAUGACUUUGUUCCUUUAAUCUACAUCAGAGUCCUAUAAAGUAUGCUAUUAUAUCCCCAUUUCACAGAUGAAGAAAAACAUUAGAAAACUAAUAAAUUUUUUUUUCAGUCUAAUACGGCUGUUAAGUGGUGGAGUUUUCUAAUAAAUAUUUGAGGAUAAUGUUAAUAGCCCAAGCGUGUGUUCAAAAAUUGUCCAUUCCACAAAAAUUGCCAGUAGCCUCAAAUUCUGUAUUAGAUUUGCUCUCUUUUUCAGUGUUUUAUGCUCACACCAUCAUUAUUUAGCUUCCUUUUAUUGCUCCCUAAGUCCUUAAGCCCAUGCAAACUUCCCCUCACAAUUAACUACUGUUCUGAAACUUUAUUGCACUAGGAAAAGAAAUGGUGUGUGCUGGUGUUGGUUUACACCACACCUCUAAAAGGGUGUGUUUGUGUGUGGGGGUUAUUAAUGGAAGUGGUGGGUGCUUCAAAUAUUUUGAAACUGUUAAAUAUAUGUACUUAUUGGGAUGAUGUCCGAGAUUGUGGCUUGCUGGUCACCAGUUGUAGGUGUAAGGGAUCUAAUGUUUUGCCCUGGAAUGCUGAAGGUAGGUGCAGAUUCAGUGCAAUUAGGAGGGUCUUCUAACCAUCUAGACCAAUAGUUCUUAA